UUGCAAACUUGAUCUCUAGUUCUCCAUGAUGUUAACAGAAGAAAGGAGAACUAGAGUUGCUAAAGUAAUUGUGUGUUAGAGAUGUUUUAACCUCCAGAGAUACUGAGUUGGCCAAGUCUAUCCUAAUACACUA
ensembl:snoRNA SNORA66 Small nucleolar RNA SNORA66